rnacentral:rRNA from 1 species
GGCCUGGCUGGACGGUCUGCCUCACGGUACGUACUGUCUGGCUGGGUCUUACCUCUUGGUGAGCCGGCAUGCCCUUCGCUGGGUGUGUCGGGGAACCAGGACUUUUACCUUGAGAAAAUUAGAGUGUUCAAAGCAGCCAAAAAAGGAGGCAUGAAUACUACAGCAUGGGAUAACGGAAUA